rnacentral:tRNA from 1 species
GCAUCGGUGUUUCAGUGGCAGAGUUCUUGCCUUACAUGAGGGAGACUUGGGUUCAAUUCCUGGCCAAUGCA